CUCCAUGGAAAAAAAUUCUGGUCCUUGGGCAUCAAAUCUUGGACCCCGGGCUUCAUAAUUCCCACUCAGAGAUCACGAGAGGCAUUCUGAGCUGUGCUAUGUUAAUCUCUUGUCACAUUUCAAAACAAAAAUGAGGUCCACUUCUGUUUUGCCUAAAGCAGAAAAACAUGUGCUGGAAAAGAAAUAAUGCCGGGACUUUAUUUGGAAAAACAAACUGGGAGAUACACACGAUCUCCUUUAUCAGGAUCAUGCGAGGAAUCCAACUAACUGAAAAGGCAAAGUCAAAACUCAGAUGAGAAAAGUGGCAUUUUUCUGAUAGCUGGAAAUAAAUGCUUCUUUUGGAAGAGUCCAUCCCAAGGGCGGUUUUCUGGCACCAGAGCACUUGGCAUGAGUGUGAAAAUCGUGGCCAAGUUGAAAAACCACAGUCCGGGCUGGAGCUGCCUGUAAAAAGCCAGCAUUGCCUCUGCAACAAGUCACAAACUGCCCAGGCAGAGGCGAGGGGUGGGGGGCAGAGAGAGGUCUACUGACAACACCCCCAGCCCUGAUACCGGCUGCCCUGGUGUCCACCCACACAGCACCUCACACCUGUCUCACUCACAAGCCACAAUGAUGGGAGGCCGCUCGGACAGUGUCCCCAGAUGUGCAAGAAGGGGACACUGGCUGCCACGUGCUGGUGGAGGGUUCUAUGAACUGUGGUGAAGCCCCAUACUUGGCAGACCAUCUCCCAGGCUCCAGGGCAGCAACCAGAUUUUGUUCUCAGUGAGUGGCCCCCAAACAGAACGAACCCUCAGACAGGUAAACGAGGAAGCUAGGAGGGUAAAUUUUGAACCUGAGCAAAGGACAGAAGUUUCUUCUUUUCUUUUUAAUGGGAAAAAAAAAAUUAUACGGGGUAAAAGGGAAGCCAGGGGCAUUCAUAGGUGCAUGCUUCCCUGGAGAGGAACAAGCACAAAAUUAGCAUCAGAAUCCAGCUCAGUAAACAAGUAAGGGCCUGCUCCGUGCCAGGUGAACAUGACAUGAUGCUUACCUGCAUGGCGAGCACAGGAGAGGGGGGAAACAGGCAUGCACCAAAUCUCCUGGGUACAUACUAAAACGGAAGGGCAUGGAGGUCCUGGAACCCAGCAAGGUAAUUCUGUUACUGAGCCCAAGUCUAACUUAGGGCAAAUCAUUCAAUGUCAAUUCUUCAUCUGUAAAAUGGGGCAAUUCUUGCCUUUCGGAUCCUUAGAGAUGUAACAACCACAACUACUAAAAAUAAUAACAAGGCAGGAAGAGUAGCCUUUUCUACUAGACCCUGUUGCCCCUAAAAGCGCCUGUGAGUGGGGCUCAAAGACGAGGCCCCCUGUGGACGGCAGCCAACACCUGUGGCAAGUUCCUGAUGCAGAUGGCUUUCCAGCCAGACCUCGGAGCAGCAGCGCCCUGCGCUCAGCCUCACCCCCGCCCCCCACUGGGCACCUUGUCACAUGCCCAGGAGCUGCCUUGGCAUGAGCAACCGUCUCCAACCCGUUCAAACCUGCCUGACACCGAGGGUGGAGGUGCUUAGUCCUAGUAAUCUCAAUCAGUCUCGGAGCUGAGAGCCAGAAUGGAACUUCCAGAACGUGGCGUUCAAUCCUCUCAUUUGUAUGAGGGUAAAGGAGACUCAGGCAGCGCAUGUGACUUGCUCAAGGUCACUCACUGAGGUGCUGGGACAGCUGGCGCUGAAAUCUUGUUUUCUGGACCCUUCUGGUCCUGUGCAGUUGCUUUUCUUUCCUCGGGAGGUUUUGCCAACACAGACUCUGUUGCCUUUUAUAUCCCUAGUCUUUCUGCCCCCAAAUACCUAAUUCAGUGUGACUUCCAACAAAGAGUAUUUAGGGUGCAAUGAAAAGGAAAAGUUCCUCCUGACAACCUUUUCCCAAGCUCUCUGUUCUUUGGGGUCUUUUAUUCUUUGGGAAGCUGUUUACUAAAUGCCUGUUAUGCAUGGGACCCUAAUCACAGCAUGAGUUCACAGAGACGAACAAGAGAUGUCCCUGUCCCCCAGGAGCUCUUGGUUUAGUUAUCACUAGAAGGCUCUCUUCAUGACACCUUUUGGAACCUCUGCUCUGGGAAGAGAAAGUCCUUCUGACCCAGUUCCCUUUAGUCAUGUGGGCAAGGAGAAAUCGACUCAUCGCUACGCCUCUUUACUCACUGAGUUUUUCCAUUCGUGCCUGGCUGGCAGCUUCUGCCACGCUGGCUGUGGGUCCAGACGAUGUUGUGAUCAGAGAAGAGGCUGGCGGCCUCACUCCAGAAGGCUUGCCACCCGGUAGCUGUACCUCUUCCUGACCCGAGGGUUUCGAAGGGUCCCCAUGAUUGCUUCAUCUAUGCUUCCGACUGUCCCUAAGGAAUUUGGAUUUGCCCUCAGCUGAGCAACGGUCUUACUUUUACUCCGGUUUGCCCCAUGGAGUGACAGCUUUGAUGUCCUCCGGCCUCCCUCUCCCUCUGCCAUCUUGGUGUGAGUUGCUUCUGAGUCCAGGGCUCUGAGGUCUGGGAAAUUAAAAUAUAUCUCAGUGAAGACUCUGACUGGCUUGUGCAAGUGAGGAAACUGGUGUCUGUUGGAAGGUUGGACAGGAGAUGGUGAAAUCCCUUCAAGCCCUAACAUUUCCCAAAAGGUAUAUCCAAAGGUUGACAGUCGGAAAAAUUAGCAGGGUUCCACUGCGUGUCCAGACCUCGGAUCAGUUCCUCAUAGCAUUUUAAAUGAACACGGGCACCCAAGUUUUUCUUUAGACUCUCCUUACUCUCAGAUGAAGUCCCCUAGUUAGAGAACAAGGGGUAGGGAACCAGAAUACACACGUACACUCUUGGGAAACGGUGCCGCUGUCUAUGGAAGGCUUCCUGGAAGCGGAGUUCCGUUCCCCUCUGCUCCAGUUAACAUCAUUCCUGGUGCCAAAAUACUGAUGAAUGGACCCCAGAUGGCAAAGCGUGGUCCCCAACUCGGACAGAGCCCACAGAGCACAAUGGUUUUACCCUAACGAGCCAUGACAUGCCAACUAUUCGCUUUUCUGGAGAAACCUCAGCCUGAAAAUCCAUUUAAUUACCACGGGAGAUAAUCUUUUAAACACAGCUUUACAUUCUUUAAAGAUUUUUCCCUGUGGGAGUAAGAAAGUUUAUCUGAACAUGGGAUUGGAUUGUUUAUUUCCAUUUCCAGAGGAAGGACAAUCACCUGGUAGUUAGCAAGAAGCCUGAGCCCUGGAGGAUUUAUUUUUAAGUCUCUUCCUCCUCACUGAUCGUUUGUCAUUAGUUUGUAGUGUUGUCACCCUCUCUCAGGGUACACUGUGCACUUAGCUCUGUGAUCCCCUAAUUACUUGGAAUUUUUCAAGCAUCCCUAUCAGAUGGGGUUUUAUACUUGCUCUGGAUGUGGCUAUCAAGAGUCAAUGUCCUCAAAGGUUUCCCAUCAGGAAGAUCAUAUCUAUAAAUCCACGAGCCCUGAAGACUUCCCUGGAGCUGUGGUCAGUAAGACACCACUUUUUCCAGCCUGGAGCAUCCCAGAGGAUGCAAGCUUGGGCAAGCAGGGGCCCUAUGGUUGUGUUCAACCUGGUGGCCCCAAGACCCUGAGUAAUUCCUGCUCGUAAUAGGUGCUCCAUAAACAGAGGCUAAAUUGCUGAAUAUCAACAGGUCCUCACAUGAAAGGAUGUGUAUUGUGCCAAAAUAUGAGCAAUGAAAACGGAGCUUGGUGGGCCCUUUUCCAUGGCAUGGGGCUGCUCUAGUCCUUCUAUCCCCAUCUCCCUUCAAGGACAAAUGGCAGGAGGCUGAGAUUUCUGGGCCUCGAAGAAUAUACCUCUGGGGAUUAAGAG